rnacentral:misc_RNA from 1 species
GCGGCAUAGGCCAUCAGCAGUGCGGCCGUUGUGAUCUGCGCCAGCAUCGCCAGCAGUCCGCCGACAAAGCAGAGCAGGAUGGCGACCAGCAGCGCGGCCAGCACCAUCCUCGGCAGCGUGGUGGUGCGCAGGUCGGGCCACGGCCGCUUCAGCCGGCCGGAUGUGGUGGUGAUUUUCGCCGACAGCCAAAGAUUGAGCGUCAGCGUCAUCAUCGCGAUAAUGGUUGCGAUGCUCGGGCCGAGCGAAACCAGUGCAUCCACGGCGCGAUCGGUCUCGCCCUGCGGGAUGCUGGCGCGGUUGCGCAUCACGCGCGUCACGAAGCCGCGCAAAGCUGCAUUGAUCGUUUCCGCGUCGCUGCCCAGUGUCAGGAAUGCGCUUGCCGUGGUGACGGUCGCGAAGACCGCGGCCCAGACCAGGAUGCGUCCGGUCGG